AGUGAACGCUGGCGGUAGGCCUAACACAUGCAAGUCGAACGGCAGCACAGUAAGAGCUUGCUCUUACGGGUGGCGAGUGGCGGACGGGUGAGGAAUACAUCGGAAUCUACUUUUUCGUGGGGGAUAACGUAGGGAAACUUACGCUAAUACCGCAUACGACCUACGGGUGAAAGCAGGGGAUCUUCGGACCUUGCGCGAUUGCAUGAGCCGAUGUCGGAUUAGCUAGUUGGCGGGGUAAAGGCCCACCAAGGCGACGAUCCGUAGCUGGUCUGAGAGGAUGAUCGGCCACACUGGAACUGGGCCACGGUCCAGACUCCUACGGGAGGCAGCAGUGGGGAAUAUUGGACAAUGGGCGCAAGCCUGAUCCAGCCAUACCGCGUGGUGGAAGAAGGCCUUCGGGUUGUAAAGCCCUUUUGUUGGGAAAGAAAAGCAGCAGGUUAAUACCCCGCUGUUCUGACGGUACCCAAAGAAUAAGCACCGGCUAACUUCGUG
rnacentral:rRNA from 1 species